CAUGUAUACUUCUCCGGAAAGGGCAGGAAGCUCAGGAAAUGGUGGCUCAAUCCCCCAAAGGGUACUAGCCAUUUCAUUUGGAAUAGAAAAACAUCACAGAAACAAAGAAGAAAUCAGUGACUGGAAAUGUGCAAAGAAAGAAAGAAAGAAAGAAAGAAAGAAAGAAAGAAAGAAAGAAAAAGAAAGAAAGAAAGAAAGAAAGAAAAAAGAAAAAAGAGAAAGAAAAAAGAAAGAGGGAAAGAAAGGAGUGGAGAUAUGAAUGAUAACUUUAGAAGUUCUAGUAAUCAUUAAAAUGAGUGGUAGAUAGAGAAUAUUGAGAGAAUAAAAGUAAUAUUGAGAUGGAGAAAUGAUGAGCAAUUACCAAAAACUGAGAAAUUGUUCCUCUGAUAAAGAAUUGCCCAAAUCCUGAGAAGGGUGUAUUCAAAGCAUAUGCAUAGACAAACCCUUAGCUACACAGCAGAGAAAUAUUAAAGAAUGAAAAGUUCUAAAAGCUUCCAUAGGGAAAACAUUAUGUACAAAGGAAUGAGUAUUACCGAUACUUCUUAGCAUCAACAUCAGGUUCAAAAAGACAGUGGCAUGUUAUUUCCAAAAUGUUGAAGAAAAAUACUUCUGGUGUUCUUAAAUCAAGACUUGUAAAACUCUUUGUGCCAGUACAUCUUAAUUGUGAACAUGACUGGAUUAAAAGAUUCCUGGAAAGAUGAUUGGAUCAUGAGAGUAUUACAUUCGUCAGUGCAUUAACUCACUGAUCUUCAUAGCUGAACGUGGUGUUAGGAGGUAGGUCCCAGUUGGGAGGAGGUAAGUCACUAGGGGUGUGUCUUUGGAGGAUGUGUCUCUUGCUAGUGCUUUUCCUCUGUUCUUUACUUCUUGGCCAGUAGAAAGUGAGCAGCUUUGGUCCACUACGCCCUUCUGCCAUGAUAUUCCUGCUUUGGAGUCAGCUAACUGUGGACUAAAAUCUCUGAAAUCAUAAGCCAAAUAAGUCAUUUCCUCAUUUAGUUUGUGUAUGUCACACCUGAUGUCCCGACAAUAGAAUACUGGCUAAUGUACAAGUCAAAUUAUCUAACAAAUGUGAGGGUGAGAUAUAAAUACUCUUGCUCAUAGAUGGAUGUAUUGGGGUCACCACAAUAAGC
rnacentral:lncRNA from 1 species